AACGAACGCUGGCGGCAGGCCUAACACAUGCAAGUCGAACGCAUCGCAAGAUGAGUGGCGCACGGGUGAGUAACACGUGGGAAUGUAUCCUUUGGUUCGGAAUAACGUCUGGAAACGGACGCUAAUACCGGAUGAGCCCUUAGGGGGAAAGAUUUAUCGCCGAAGGAGCAGCCCGCGUCUGAUUAGGUAGUUGGUGGGGUAAAGGCCUACCAAGCCGACGAUCAGUAGCUGGUCUGAGAGGAUGAUCAGCCACACUGGGACUGAGACACGGCCCCGACUCCUCCGGGAGGCAGCAGUGGGGAAUAUUGGACAAUGGGCGCAAGCCUGAUCCAGCCAUGCCGCGUGAGUGAUGAAGGCCUUCGGGUUGUAAAGCUCUUUCGCACACGACGAUGAUGACGGUAGUGUGAGAAGAAGCCCCGGCUAACUUCGUGCCAGCAGCCGCCGUAACAC
rnacentral:rRNA from 1 species